ACUGAGAGAGGGGCCGUUACAGAAAAGGUUUGGAACUACUGUGCUAGGGCAUGAACCUCUGACUUACUGCUCAGAUCAUCGAUCACACGUAGAUAGCUACAAUGACUUAUACAAAGCACUAUUUAAAGGCAAGUUCUCAGGCAGACCUCACAUAAUUGGCCAACAAUCAGCCAAAUCAGUUCAGAAGAUGUUUCAGCAGAGAAUCAAGUGUUGGUUUCAACAUUUUUUCUCAGAGAUGUCUCACACAGAGGAAAUAUAGACCAGAAUGCAUUAUACCACAGACUUUCUCUUGUUGUAUCAUUAAACCAAAUUUAGAAAUGUGGUACAUCAUCUGCUUCUUCUCAUGUUAAAGCAACACAGGUUGGCUCUUUUUGGAAAGAUAUAUCACCAGUUAUACCAGUUAUAUAUUCAAAUUCAGUGCCCGUCUUUGUACUUAUUUUUCAAUUUAAGAUCGUGGCAACUUACCUAGGGCUUUGGCAUAACAGUGUGGAGGACCUCAUCGGUAUGGAUCUACUGAAGCAUUUGAUCGAGCUCGGCCAUGUGAAAAGUAUUACUGAACGGAACAAAUGUACAAAGCUCCAUCAAGUAGGCCUUAAGGAUACCUACUUUUCACAGGAAAAGUCAACGCAUGUCUGCCAGCAGCGUGCGCUACUCUAUCUCGCCUUUAAAGCCAGCAACUGGACCUCCAGCUGGGAGACAUCAAACCAAAGGUCAGGUUGUGGAUGGGUACGAGAGUAUCUGGAGGCCAGUGAGGAUGAGAGAGCAGAGCAGAGGCCAGUGGCUCACCAUGCCAAUGCGGAUGACCUCCCUUUAUUAUGGCUUUUUAUACCAUUCUUAUUUAUAAUAAAGUGUUUCUCACCAAAACGUAGAGUAGAACAACCAUCAAGUGUUUAGGAGGUUUACUGCUUUGAGACUUGUGCAGAAUAAUUUGUGGCGCCUUGAAUAAGACUUGAAUAGGACAUUUUAUACAAAUGGUGGUGCAGUAAUUGUGUCCCUAAAAGUCCCAAGAUGCAUGUUUGUUGAUGUAAUAUUGAUGUCCAACAGAUGAACAGGGACUUGUUGUCUGUAGUUAAACCCAGAAGAGGUUUAGUGAGCUGCUGCCUUUAAAGCUCUAAAAGAUGCUAUUCUUUGUGUCUUCAUUACAGCAUGUAAUGAUUUCUGCUGCUGAGCUCUAGAAAGCAUUUUUAAAGUGCAUGAUUAGUGUGCGUUCAGUCAAACAAUGAGCAUGCUUUGUAACCUUGAGCACUAUAAAUCAUGUUAUUUAGACAAGUCUCACAAGUAUUUAUUUGGCUGACAUGAAAAACGUCAUGAGCUCUCGGCCAAAACACCAGGACAGUGCAUGUUGCUAAUGAAGUAUUUUGAAAAUUAGGGUCACAUAUUAACACAAGGCAUCAUUCUCCCUUGCUUGUUAUUUGAAUAAUUCAGUGUGCAAAUUAGUUAAUGAAACCAAUUGCUUUGCCUCAUCAUACUGUACCUAAUGUGGGGCCUCUUUUAAAAUUCACAAAUGAUUUCCUGUCCAAUUAAGUUUUCAUUUUGAUAGUAAUUAUGGUAGCGUUGCACUUUUUGGUAUUAGUUACUCGUUGUGGUUCGUGAUCCAGUUCUUCGCAGAGGCUCGUUAAUAGUCAUCAUGCACAGGGUAAAUUUGCGUACACGUCGGGGGAUGAAAAAUAUUCUGUAACGAGUAAGAUUUUGGAAUUUAAAAUGCUUUGUCUUCAGCAACAAUACACGCACAAUACACGCAGUGUUUUAUUAUCAUGACAAUGAACAUUUACAUGCACAAAUUAGGACACUGUAAAGCACACAUAGAAGCUUACAGGCCACUAGCUAUCUAAUCAAACCAUCAAAUUAAAACUCUGAAAUAAACUCAGAAAAGUCCAGCUUCUGUAAGGCCUGAUCAGAAAAUAUAAAUAAAUAAAUAUGAAAAUAACAUAAGGCAAACAAACCGUAUGAUUUGCUACCUUUCAUUCCCGUUGCUCACCACUAUGUUAUUGUUUGAUGAUCUUAAUUGCAGAGAUAUCACCUUGAGUUCAAUAUGUCUCAACUUUUGUAACAAAAUGAUGAAAUAAUAUAAUAUAAAAUAAAAUAAAUAAUACUGUGAUGAUAAUAAAAAUCCAAUAAAGUUCUGUCUUUGGAGGCAACGGAGAUUGUGAGAGUGCGUUGAUUAGAAAACAACCAUUCAUGUUGCAACACUCCUGAGUUGUGUAAAGAUACUCUGCGCCUUGAAGUGCUAUGAAAAUUAGUAUGAUGGUCUUCAAGGCCGGGGACUUUUGUUGUCUUUGUCUUCUCAUUUCCCUUUGCAUCUUCGUAUCACUCAUCCGAUUUCACAAAGUAAAGAGAAGUCUUUUCAAACAAACACAAAUGUUACACAUGCAAAAACAUUCAAAUUGCUUUUCUGUUUUUUUCACAUGCCGAUUUACCGACAGAAAUAAUAAUGUCACUGGCCUGUUUCUAGGGCGAGGUUAAGUGUGUGAAAAAGCAUGUGUGCUACAUGUGUUGUACAUUACAUUAAAUGUAUCAACACAGUAUUUAGAUACAUGAAAAAAAUCACUGUGCGUCUGUUUAGAAGAAAGUCAAAAAAUUUGUUUUAUGAAAACAAUCUUAUUUUUUACACAGUUUUUGACAAAGAAAUUCAGCACAAUGGAAGAUGUUCCUGAAAUUCUUGCCUGCUAAGCACAACAGAGACAGCACAAUACAUCAUAGUGUUCUAUUGUCAAAACAAGGACAUACACCAUCUAGGACACUUAGCAGUUUACAGACCAGUAACUAAUUAAACCAUCACAUUAAAACUUAAAAAUGAUCUCGUAGAUAUCAACUCAUACUUCAAUAUGAAGGCCUCCUUGUAGAAAAAUACAAAUAUCAAAAUCAAACAAAACAGUGAAAACCACACUUGACUGACAUCUAUAGUGCUUCAAUAACCGCAGAUGAAAUCUACACAAAAUCUACCUCAAUGGAGGCAAUACAAGGAUUUCUGUUGUUUCUUUGUGUGUUUAUGGGGAACUAAAACUGUGGCAUGUUUCCUCAUUUGUUUAGGAAUAUUUUUAAAAUCUAGUAAACAGCUUCUCUAAAAUAGGCGGAAAGAUAUUAUUGGUACCAGGUUUAUCAAACAUAGAUAUAGAUAGAAAUCAUGAGGCUAUUGGAUGUUCCUAAGCCAUAGUGCUAUCUAUUUGACUUCAGUAACAGAAAAUUGAAAUUAUUAUGAUGUGUGAAAGCAUACUCUUAGAAACUAAUUUGUGUAUCUAAUAGAAUUACAGAGGAUUGCUGCAUGCACUGUCAAGGUUAAAGCAUUUCUAUUGGAUUUUCUGUGGCUUCAUUCUUGCUCGGUUGGUCUUUGGUGCGUAUUUUCCAGGGUAAUCAUUGGAAAUGAACAGCACAGACCUUGGAUAAAUAUGGGGUAGGUUGGUUUUGGAAUGGUGAAAAACAACAUUUAUAAAUGAAUGAUUUUUGCUUUUUUUUGUUCAUAUUAAGUGUCUCAACCUGUAUUGACACCCACAGAAGCACGAUCAAGAAUUGUACAUCUGAAAACUGCGGCAGUCAGAACCGAACACGGAGAAGCAGCGUCCAGUUCUUCAGCUUCACGUAUCUGGAACAAAUUCCCAGAGAGCUGCAGGUCUGCCGAGAUUCCGGCAGCUUCAAAUUAAGACUGAAGACGUUUCUCUUUGCUGCUGCUUUUAAUUUAACCAGAUUAAGUCAAUUCAGCAGGUUCUUUUUUUAUAAAUCUCAGUUUUCAUUAUGACUCCGAUUUGAUGACUCUGAUUUACACUCACCAUGUGUCCCCCUUGUUUCAGGUGUGUUCACUUCCCUCAUGUCUUCCCAGCCUUAGCAGCUGCCCUUCCCGAUUGUGUCCACCUGUGUUUCAUUAACAUCCCUUCCCCUUGUGUACUUAAGGGGUGUGCACUGUGUUGUUUGCGCGCCAGUUUGUCUUGUACUAUUUGUCAAGUGUGGCAGGACCUUUGUGCCAAACUAGUUAGUGGUUUCCUGGUCAAGCCUUCGACCCCGAUUACCCUUUCUGGAUGCCGUCUCUUGUCUCUUGCCUUCUACUAGUUUGUGUUGCAAACCCUGCCUGUCCUUGACCAUGUUUUUGUAAAUAAUGCUUCCUGUGACAUAAUCCCCAAGUUGUGAACCUUAAAAACAGUAUAGUGAAUCUAUUGUAAGCUUCUUUAUUAUUUAGUGUCGGUUUUUGAUUUUUUAAUCAACAAUUUUCUUAAAGAUUUUUAAAUUUUCUUUCUUUUUGUUUUGGUGGUUUUGAUGGUACAAUGUGCAAGACUGAAUUGAUUUUUUGUUGAAAUGCGAUACAAUGCAAAGUGCUACACAAAUAAACCUGCCUUGGCUACA